GCCGAAGUAGCUCAAAUGGUUGGAGCAAUAGCCAAUAAAUAGAUGUAUUGAUAAAUACAUAAGCAGCAAUUUCAAACAGGGAAGCUAUAGGAUAAUAGUUCAAAUCUAUUCUUCGGCA
rnacentral:tRNA from 1 species